UCGGAUUGUAGUCUGCAACCCGACUACAUGAAGCUGGAAUCGCUAGUAAUCGCGGAUCAGAAUGCCGCGGUGAAUACGUUCCCGGGUCUUGUACACACCGCCCGUCACACCAUGGGAGUUUGUAACGCCCAAAGUCGGUGGCCUAACCUUUAUGGAGGGAGCCGCCUAAGGCGGGACAGAUGACUGGGGUGAAGUCGUAACAAGGUAAC
rnacentral:rRNA from 1 species